rnacentral:antisense_RNA from 1 species
CUUCAUGGGCGGGCCGUGGCAGGGGAGCCGCAAGGCUCGCCGGGUUUGCCUGUGUCCUCGGUCUGCUAACCCUGUCACUGUGCCCGCUCACCCCC